AUGUCCAGAGGGCAUUUUCUUGUUUACUCCUUGUAUCUCUCCCAUGCCUCAUAGAAAGUUUCACCAUCUUGUUGUCUAAAUUUUUUCACCUUAGCUCUGAAUCU